rnacentral:tRNA from 2 species
GGGGGCGUAGCUCAGCUGGGAGAGCGCAGCGUUCGCAACGCUGAGGUCGUGAGUUCGAUCCUCAUCGCCUCCACCA